UCAGGCAUUCAGCCAAUCACAAAGCACUGAAUGCAACAAAUGUCUCGUUUGUAAUGGGUUUUAUUGGUUUUGUCUGGUCACGCUGGGAUACACGGCAUCACAGUAUGUUAAGGGGUGUAACAUUUCCGUCACACGCUUGAGGCAUUCGGCCAAUCACAACGCACCAGAUAGCUGGCCAAUCAGAGCACACCUCGCUUUUCAGACCUAUGAGCUUUGUAAAAAUUUACGCGUUUCAGAAAGGCGGGGUAUAGAGGAGAAACAAUAAUGUACAGUAUGUGGAAAAUAAGGUUUUUUUUUUUAUUUAACUUAACCACUAUUCUAUUACAUACAAAUACAACGUUUGAAGUGUUCAGACUUACAGAAGUCAGUGAUCAGAGCUUGUAUCUGCUGUGUUCAGGUUCAGGUUUGAUGCUGAAUAUAAGCUGCAGUGUUUCUGUAUCAAUCUGCUUUAAGUUUAGUGUGACUUUAUCUCCACACUGACUUCUGACUGACACGAGUCUGUCCUCAGUGAAGUGUCUCUUCACGCUGGAGGAGGAGUCCCGCUCAUCAGCGCUCACACUUUAUUGAUAUAUAUGGAGAAAAUCAAAAUGCUGCUCUCUGAUUUGUCACUGAUUGUGUUUGAUGAUUUCCUCUGUUGUGUCUAAUAAGGUAACAGUGAGUGUCAUUGGCAGCUGUGAGUCUCUCUCUCUCUUUAGGGGGCUGACAGGAGCCAGUUUCUUCAGUGUGUUUGAGGAGCAGACGAGAAACUUGUGCUGAGUUCUGAGUUGAUGAAGUAGUGUGUGUCGAGCUGAAGGAGAAGAUGGAGAACUGUCUGAUGCUGAUGUUUCUGUGUUAUAUGGUAAAACUCAUCACCUCUGGUGUAGACAGUGUGAGUGUGAGGUUGGUGAAUGGCGAUAAUCCCUGUGCUGGUCGAGUGGAGGUUCUUCAUGAUGGUCAGUGGGGAACAGUGUGUCAUCGGGACUGGGAUAUUACUGAUGCUGCAGUGGUGUGUAGAGAGCUGGUCUCUUAUACACAUCUCUGAGCGGGCUGGCAAGGCAGACCGAUAUCGUAUGCCGU
rnacentral:lncRNA from 1 species